UUUUUUCUUUUUUCUUUUAGGUCAUUUUAUAUACCUUGGUCUGGCAUUUUCCACACUGUUGUCUAUUUUGGUAUAUUUAACUUUCUCAUUAGUCUAGAAGUCACCAUGGGCAGAGGCCUCAAGAAGGCCUAUUUUUGUUCACCAUAUGCCUGGCCCAAAGUAGAGCACUCACAGAUAAUUUUUGAAGUGAAUGAAUUACUACAAUUUUCUUCUAUCUAGCUCAUGGUCUGCUUCAGGAAGGGGUUUUCUAUUUAUGUCAUCAUUUGGCUGUGUUCGGUAGGUCAGAGGGGAAGCAGGAUGGUUUUUGGAGUCCAACAGUUCUGUUCUUCCUGACUUUGGCACUCAGGCAACUCAUGUAACUUCCCUGGGCAUCAUUUUCACAGAGGAAUAAAAAUGUCAUCUUCGUGAAGCUAAGAAGGAAAACUGAGAUAAUGUAUAUGCUGCCUAGUAAGAAAACAACAACAACAGCAAUAGCAGUACACAUUAUUGAAUGUUUACUGUGCACUACUCAUUGCUGUUACCACUGUCUCUGUGUUAAUUCAUUUAAUCCUCAUAAUGACACCUUUAGGUAAUAUCUGCCAUUAUCCCCAUUUGACAGAUAAGGAAACUGAGACCCUAAGAUGUCCAGUAACUUGCCAAAAAUUUAUACACAGUUUAUACGGGACAGAACUGAGGCUUUAGUUGCCAGCCAGCCUGACUGGCUCCAGAGAUCAAAUUUUCUUUUAUGAUAUCAAAAUGUUUUAAUCUCAGGCAAUAGGGAAUACUCCCAGGGCCCAUAAUAGAAUGACACAUAUUGCCCUACUGCCUCCCCUCUUGACAUGUUUAUGUCUCACCAUUGUGGUGCCUCCAUCCUUUAUCUGAUCUGUAGUCCCCUUGCCCCAGAUCAUAUUUCAGAAGUCAGAUUUCCCUCUCUGCACUGAAACCUCAACAUUCACUGUGCUUUACACUUAGGAUCUGUGGAUUCUUAUAAUAACCAAUUCUUAAAUUACACCUGGCAUAAUAUAUUCUUAAUGAAAUAUUUCUUAAUAAUAACUAAUAAUAUUUAGUUAUUAGCUAUUGCUUUCCAAAGAAGAGUUUUUUUGUUUGACUUAAAUAUUUGCAGUAAAAUAAUGAUAAAAGAGAAUGAUGGUAAAUGAUUGAGGCCAGGUAUUGAAAACAAAUAGAAAACUCAGAAUAUGUAAAAAAAAAUAUGUAUACUAAUAGAUAAAACCACAAGGGUCACACAAGAGCUUCAAAAAUAUAUCUCUCUACAUUUAUCUACUUACAUAUCUACCUACCUACCUACCUACCUAUCUACCUACCUAUCUUUCAGCUUCCUGGCAGCCCAAGUGAAAAAGAAUGCAUGGACUACAACAAAAAAACUACCAUUUCAGAAGGGGAAAUAAUAGAAUCUGAGUAGAUCCUCUGGUGAGUGGGAUUUUAUAUAUGGGAUGGAACAAGGACAGAAGAAAUAGGCACUGUCUUCAACAAUAGUGCUAGAUCAAAAGCAUUGAUUCUAAUGCUUCACAUGACCCUUUGAGAAACAUCAAAGGAUGUGAGGAAUACCAACAUAUAAUCAGAGAAGCCAAUUCUGUUGUAAAUAUCAAGGACGCUGGCCAGUCCAUCUUUGCUUCAAAGUAGAAAAAAAAAAAAUGCCUUAGUCUUUAUUUCCUUUUCUCCUGGGUAACUCUCCUUUGUUACUUCACUCCUGUUGAUAUAUUAUUUUGAGAUGGAGAAGAGGACCUAAUGCUCUCUUUGUCCUCAUGGUUGAACCAUUCGUUCUGCAAUAAUGCCCCGAUUUGGAUAAUAUAAUCAUCCAGAAGUGCUCUGAAAUGAAAUUAUAGGACUGGCCUGGAUUGGAGUUUCUCAGAAGAAGUGGGUCUGUACUGAAAAUUACUUACUGCCCUUUGCAAAGGUGGCAGUUAAAUAACUCAACAAGAGGUCCCUCAGAGAAAAUCAAUACACACCAAAUUGCAAAAAUGUGGAUGCAAUUUGUGGGGAAAGUGGAUUUGAUGGGAGUCUGCGUUGGCUGCCAGCAUGGAGUCAUUUUCAAGGUGGAGGAAAGCAUGUUACAGUACUCCAUUCCAAAUGCUGAGCUGGUCUGCUCCUUGCCCUGCAGACUCCAUCUCCCCAGUGCCUCAGAAAACCUGACCUGUCAGCUCAACCCCACUCCAGGCUAUGGGACCAAUUGUGCCUUGAGGUACAAGCCUGACAUGGCUUCAGCCAUAUUUGACCAUGGGCAUCAAAAGCCUUGGCUUGUCAUGGAGAGCUCACCCUGUGUGCCAGUCCAGGUAGUGGGACUUUUCCUUGUGCUUCACCUUUCCUGGGGUCUUUGUUCUAAGAAUGGGAAUCCUGUUGUGUUCCUCAUUUCCAGAGUCUCUGGCUUGGUAACCUGCCUACCAAUCUCUAGGAAAAGGCUCUGUUUGCCCUUGCUGUCCUCCUAACGCCAUCUGUUAAAGGAAGUAGACUUUGAAAAAUGCAAAUGGGAUACCUUGACUCCUUUCCUAAAACUUCCCAUAGGCUCCACUUUGGAUUUAGAGCAUGCAUUGAUCUGUUAGAUUUUGUGUGAGCCAGGUCCUCUCUGUGCUCCAAACUGACAUAAACACUCUCUGUUUAUACAGUCUUCAAUUUCUCCAGUAAUCUAAGACCCUGUCACAGGGAUUUGCAUCACCUAUAUUCUCUGCCUGGAAUGCUGUUCCCACGCUAAUGCCCAGCUAGCUUCUUUAAGUCCUUCAGCUGAAGGACACCUGCUAAGCAAAACCUUUCCUGCCACUCUUUCUAAUGUAGCACUCCUCCCCCGUUAUUUCUCUCAUUGCAUUAACUUCCCAGCUUCAAGCUAUAGUAACAAUAUUUAUUUAUUUGUGUCAUGUUUACUGUCUGAAUCCUCUAAUAUAAAUGACAAGAGGACAUAUCUACUUUAUUUACAGCUAUAUUCCAAGUGACUAGCAUUGUAUUGAGGGCACUUGAAAAACAAAUAUUUGUAAAUUGAAUUAAUGAAUCAUGAACCAAUGAAUGAUCUAGACCCCUGGUGCUACCUACAUGGUUGCCUCAAGUUACCAUUGAAAAACCUCUUGUCUUAAUGAAGUUCUACUAUCAGAUAUUGCUGGACAUUCUUGAUGAUGAUGUUUAACCAUAAUGCUACUCGUUGUCUGCAUAGUGUUUUUUCAAGCUUUGUGGGGUAUUGUAGGGCCCUUCUAUUAAUUUUAAAUGAAAUCUCGUGAUGAAAUCUAAAAGAGAAAACUGAUGAAAAUAAGUCUGCUUUACUUGACUUAGGAGUGAGAAGAUUCAAGCUUAGCCUAGUUCCCCUUAGAUACGUCUGAAAAAUGUGGAGCCCUCCACAGCAUGGCGACCUGUGGUCAAGGAGUUGCUUCAAUAGCUCUUGGUCUGCUUCUAGACUGACUUCCCUUUGUAAACAACUGGGUCUUAUCCACCUUUGAUCACCAAGCACCAAGUCCACUCAAGACUGUGGGCUUAAUUCAAUCUCUCCUGCCCAUCCCAGCACUGCAAUUUUAAUAGUCCCAUAUCUUGUUACAUCACAGAACACAUCACCAAGACCCUGGACUGGAACAGUUGGUCUCUGAACUUGAUGUAAGCCAGUGAUAAAUCCCUCAACCAAUACAUAAAAAACUUUGUUAGUCUACUAGUGCCAAGAAAGCAGGGCAGAUUUCUGUAAAGGGAUUCUAACAGAUGGGGUAAUUUGAAUCCAUUUUAUUAUUGUCUUAAAAAUGUAUCUAAUGCACCCUCAGUGAGGCUUCGAAAGACCCUGACAAAAAUCUGAAGUUGAAAUUAAACCAAAAAGGCAUAUGCUUACCAGAUUUCCAGUGUCAGUAAAGUCUUCCCUAAUUACUGCUCUGGUUCCCAACAAAAAGAAGCCCACAUAGUCACCCUGCCCUGAGGCAUGUCUCAAUAAACCAAUAAACCUAAUACCAAAUCCUGGAGUCCCUAGAGCUCUGAUCUCCCAAAAAAUAAUAACAACACUAGUAACAACAACAACAACAAUGAUAAUGAUGAUGUGAAUUUGAAGCCCUUUACAUUUAUUUUUAAUGCCUGGUGGUACGUUCAAGAAACAGAAAACCCACACCACCAGAACGCAUGAGCAGAACCACUGACUACAGUUGAAGAGACCCAAGGGUCUUAGGU
rnacentral:lncRNA from 1 species